rnacentral:tRNA from 1 species
GGGAGUUUGACCGAGUGGUUAAGGUGCUGUGUUUAGGUAAUGCUGGGCUAUCCCGGCAUACCAUAAAUCCGCAGUGGGAAACCGCGCAGGUUCGAAUCCUGCAGCUCUCA